rnacentral:rRNA from 1 species
CCUACGGGAGGCUGCAGUAGGGAAUCUUCCACAAUGGGCGAAAGCCUGAUGGAGCAACGCCGCGUGGGUGAAGAAGGUCUUCGGAUCGUAAAACCCUGUUGUUAGAGAAGAAAGUGCGUGAGAGUAACUGUUCACGUUUCGACGGUAUCUAACCAGAAAGCCACGGCUAACUACGUGCCAGCAGCCGCGGUAAUACGUAGGUGGCAAGCGUUAUCCGGAUUUAUUGGGCGUAAAGGGAACGCAGGCGGUCUUUUAAGUCUGAUGUGAAAGCCUUCGGCUUAACCGGAGUAGUGCAUUGGAAACUGGGAGACUGGAGUGCAGAAGAGGAGAGUGGAACUCCAGGUGUAGGGGUGAAAUGCGUAGAUAUAUGGAAGAACACCAGUGGCGAAAGCGGCUCUCUGGUCUGUAACUGACGCUGAGGUUCGAAAGCGUGGGUAGCAAACAGGAUUAGAUACCCCAGUAGUC